UCCCUGGUUGUUCAGUGGUUAGGACUUGGCACUCUCACUGCCAUGACCCCAGGUUCAAUUCCUGGCUGAGGAA